GGGCUGCCCGAGCCGCCGCCAUUAGGGACGUUGACUCGGUUGCAGGGGCUAAGGUUGCUCCCUCCCGCCGCCAUCUUGAAGUGGCGUCUGUUUACAAACAGCGAGCUCAACAGCGUGGCCCUCCGUAAAGGAGGCUGGGAGUGAGAGAAAUCAUCAGGUGAAAACCAUCACUGGGUAGGAAUUUGGACCAGGAACCUUGGCUGUUUCUUCAGUUCUAGCGGUGCAUCGGAACCAACAGAAUACAAGGAAUCAUCAAGGUGGUUCAGAAUGUAAAAUAAGAACUUUCUCCAUCCUACUCAGACCCUCUACUGGAAAAGCUUGGUGGAUGUUAGAACAUCUGUUUUUGAGAGGCAUAGGCAUCAUGGGUAGUAGGACAAGUGCUGGGAGAGUUGAAAUGGAGCCACACGUCAGCCAUGGAGGGGGCCAAAGACCUAUUACUGUUCUCAUGGCUGUCCUCUACUUCCAUGACAUGGACAUACUGCAAUAGCAUCUUAAUUCAGUGAAAUCCCACAGUGAAUGUAUUAAGAAACCCAGGUGGGAUUCAAUGAUUUCAGUCAAUUCUGCCAAAACAAUUUACUGACAGGUCCAUCCCCACUGAAUUCACUUUAGAAAGGGAAAUCAUCACUGAUGAACAAAAAUAUAAAUUAUUCCACCCUCUCAAGACUGAAGUGUAAAGUUAGAAACCCACACCAUCAACCAGAACUAUAUUAUGUUACAAAGUAGAUUAUGUAACUGUUGUCUGUUCAGCAAACAUGGGUCAAAUGACUAUUAUUUAAUAGGCUGCAACAACUCCACAUUUUUUCAAAUGAUACAUUUUUUAAAAUACUUAUGUCCAAGGAUAAAUUUACUCGAUUUUACUCUCAUGUUAAUCCAACCUGUAACAGAUGUUAUUCUGAAGUAGCUUCAUUGACCCACAUGUUUUGGUCUUGCCCUUGUUUGCAAAAUUAUUGGAAAGAUAUUUUCGGUAUUAUUUCAACAGUUCUGAAUAUCAAAUUGCAACUGUAUCCUAUUACUGCAAUUUUCGGUUUACCAAUGGUAGAUAAUAUUUGUUUAUCCCCCUCAGCUUGACGAUUGAUUGCACUUGUUACAUUAAUGGCUAGAAGAUCUAUCCUAUUGAACUGGAAGAAAUUAAUCCCCACAACUAUAUUUCAGUGGUUUUCUCAAACUAUCUCUUGUUUGAGCUUAAAAAAUAUUAGGUGUUGUCUUUUAUUCUUCAGUUAAAUUUGAAGAAAUUUUGAAAAUUUGAAGACCAUUUAUCCAACAUUUUCAUAUCAGUUAAACUGACUUUUCCUAAACCCUGCUUCUAUUAUUGUUAAUUAUUUGGAUGGAGGUACGGAGUUAUUGACGCUACUGUAUAUAUUUGACAUAAUGCAAUGGCCCAUGUUGGUUAGGUGUUUUUUUUUCAUUUCUUAUUUACUCCCUUUUUUUUCAUAAUUACUAUGAGUUUGGGAGGUUAUGAUAUAUGGAUUAUCAUCUAUAUGAAUGUAUACUUAACCUAUUAAUUAUGUACUUUCAAACUCUCUGUAUUCAUGUUUCAUUUAUGUUUGUUUAAAA